GAUGAACGCUGGCGGCGUGCCUAAUACAUGCAAGUCGAGCGAACAGACGAGGAGCUUGCUCCUCUGACGUUAGCGGCGGACGGGUGAGUAACACGUGGAUAACCUACCUAUAAGACUGGGAUAACUUCGGGAAACCGGAGCUAAUACCGGAUAAUAUAUUGAACCGCAUGGUUCAAUAGUGAAAGACGGUUUUGCUGUUACUUAUAGAAGGAUCCGCGCCGCAUUAGCUAGUUGGUAAGGUAACGGCUUACCAAGGCAACGAUGCGUAGCCGACCUGAGAGGGUGAUCGGCCACACUGGAACUGAGACACGGUCCAGACUCCUACGGGAGGCAGCAGUAGGGAAUCUUCCGCAAUGGGCGAAAGCCUGACGGAGCAACGCCGCGUGAGUGAUGAAGGUCUUCGGAUCGUAAAACUCUGUUAUUAGGGAAGAACAAAUGUGUAAGUAACUAUGCACGUCUUGACGGUACCUAAUCAGAAAGCCACGGCUAACUACGUG
rnacentral:rRNA from 1 species